rnacentral:rRNA from 1 species
AACGAGUUAUCUGAACCUUCGGGGAACGAUAACGGCGUCGAGCGGCGGACGGGUGAGUAAUGCCUAGGAAAUUGCCCUGAUGUGGGGGAUAACCAUUGGAAACGAUGGCUAAUACCGCAUGAUGCCUACGGGCCAAAGAGGGGGACCUUCGGGCCUCUCGCGUCAGGAUAUGCCUAGGUGGGAUUAGCUAGUUGGUGAGGUAAGGGCUCACCAAGGCGACGAUCCCUAGCUGGUCUGAGAGGAUGAUCAGCCACACUGGAACUGAGACACGGUCCAGACUCCUACGGGAGGCAGCAGUGGGGAAUAUUGCACAAUGGGCGCAAGCCUGAUGCAGCCAUGCCGCGUGUGUGAAGAAGGCCUUCGGGUUGUAAAGCACUUUCAGUCGUGAGGAAGGUAGUGUCGUUAAUAGCGGCAUUACUUGACGUUAGCGACAGAAGAAGCACCGGCUAACUCCGUGCCAGCAGCCGCGGUAAUACGGAGGGUGCGAGCGUUAAUCGGAAUUACUGGGCGUAAAGCGCAUGCAGGUGGUUUGUUAAGUCAGAUGUGAAAGCCCGGGGCUCAACCUCGGAAUAGCAUUUGAAACUGGCAGACUAGAGUACUGUAGAGGGGGGUAGAAUUUCAGGUGUAGCGGUGAAAUGCGUAGAGAUCUGAAGGAAUACCGGUGGCGAAGGCGGCCCCCUGGACAGAUACUGACACUCAGAUGCGAAAGCGUGGGGAGCAAACAGGAUUAGAUACCCUGGUAGUCCACGCCGUAAACGAUGUCUACUUGGAGGUUGUGGCCUUGAGCCGUGGCUUUCGGAGCUAACGCGUUAAGUAGACCGCCUGGGGAGUACGGUCGCAAGAUUAAAACUCAAAUGAAUUGACGGGGGCCCGCACAAGCGGUGGAGCAUGUGGUUUAAUUCGAUGCAACGCGAAGAACCUUACCUACUCUUGACAUCCAGAGAACUUUCCAGAGAUGGAUUGGUGCCUUCGGGAACUCUGAGACAGGUGCUGCAUGGCUGUCGUCAGCUCGUGUUGUGAAAUGUUGGGUUAAGUCCCGCAACGAGCGCAACCCUUAUCCUUGUUUGCCAGCGAGUA